GUCCCAGUAGCUCAGUUGGAUAGAGCAACGGCCUUCUAAGCCGUGCGUCAGGGGUUCGAAUCCCUUCUGGGACGCCA
rnacentral:tRNA from 1 species